UUUUUUUAAAUCUUUUGUAGUUUUUGUUGUUUGUUUUUUGCUUUUUAUCUUUUAAUUUCUCUGUUGUUAAAUUGAAGGUAAGCUCAGUGUGCUUAUGGACCAUUGACUGCCAGGGACCCUGAUGAGGACAGUCAGGUUUUGGUUGAGUUCUGUGUGCAGAGCGCCUAGAGCCACACAUGGGGUGUGGAGCCCUUGAGCCCCCUAGCUUCUUGCCCCUAGUCCCUGGAGUGGCAGCGUGCCCCCCGGCUGCACCCCACCGGGAGCCCUGCUUCUACCCGCCCGUGCCCAGCUCCUUUGUUUCUGAGGGGGUGUGGGGUGCUUGAAAGGCAUGAUUGAUUUUUUUUACAGAUUUUUCUAAGUGGCGGUAUUCUGAAAGGGAAUUAACUAACCAAAGGGGUGGACGAUACGAAAUGGGACCAGGAGACACCCCUGUCCCCUUGGAGGAAGCCAUAGGAAUCACAUCCAUUACAGGGAGACUGUAGAUGUUCUACUGUGCUUAAUGAGCAGUUAACUUAGCCUUUUCACCUCUUUUUAAAUCAUGUGAAUGAUGUGUUGUUUUGGACAUCAGUAAAUAUGAACUCUGCAAAGGCAGUGAGCCUUGACUUACUAUUAAAUCCUAAGGAUUUUGUGUAAGGUUUUUUUGCAACCUGUUUAAUUUUCCUCAUUUAAAGGGCCCAUGGUUCUGUGUCCUGGAACCAAGCAACUCCCUGAUUCAUAUUGGAUCCCCGGUAUACCUGCUGGUAGUGUUUGAUGGGGAAGGGUCUUUGGUUUUACAUGUGUAAAAAACCUGGUCUUUUUAGGAAAUGUGCAGAAAAUCUUAACUCUCUUUUCUGUGCUGUAUUUUGGUAGCAAGUCUUUUAAUUAAGAUGAGGAGGCAGAAGAGGCAUUUUUAGUGAGAAGUUGCUUCUUGCUUUCAUUUCUAACCAACUAAAAUGUAAAAAGGCCUUCAUGUUGGUGCUUUAUUUUACUAAUUUUGAAAGGUAUGUAGAAAAGUACAGGCCUUUAAAAAGAAACAUGAUUGUAGUCUUUGAAUUUUAACACUUUCUGCAGAGUGGACAAACAGAUGUACUGUUUUAAUAUAUUUUGUAUUUAGUAAUUUAAUAUAUUCUAGAAAGUAGACCUUUUGACAUUCUUCUAGCAUGAUUUUCUUUUAAACUAUUUUUCAUUUUAAGGGCACGUAAUGGAACCUGAUUUUUAAAGGACCGUUUAAGUUCUGUGCUCUCUGCAGUGUUGUCUCAGGGUAUAUAAUUUAUGUUUUUAAAGCAACAUUU
ensembl:lncRNA